CCUACGGGGGGCUGCAGUGGGGAAUAUUGGACAAUGGGGGGAACCCUGAUCCAGCCAUGCCGCGUGUGUGAAGAAGGCCCUCGGGUUGUAAAGCACUUUCAGUGAGGAAGAACGCCUGGUGGUUAAUACCCAUCAGGAAAGACAUCACUCACAGAAGAAGCACCGGCUAACUCCGUGCCAGCAGCCGCGGUAAUACGGAGGGUGCGAGCGUUAAUCGGAAUUACUGGGCGUAAAGCGCGCGUAGGUGGCUUGAUAAGCCGGUUGUGAAAGCCCCGGGCUCAACCUGGGAACGGCAUCCGGAACUGUCAAGCUAGAGUGCAGGAGAGGAAGGUAGAAUUCCCGGUGUAGCGGUGAAAUGCGUAGAGAUUGGGAGGAAUACCAGUGGCGAAGGCGGCCUUCUGGACUGACACUGACACUGAGGUGCGAAAGCGUGGGUAGCAAACAGGAUUAGAUACCCUGGUAGUC
rnacentral:rRNA from 1 species